rnacentral:rRNA from 1 species
CCCCAAUCAAGCAAGAUUACCCGCUGAACUUAAGCAUAUCAAUAAGCGGAGGAAAAGAAACCAACAGGGAUUGCCCUAGUAACGGCGAGUGAACAGGCAAGAGCUCAGAUUUGAAAGCCUUUUUGGCAUUGUAUUCUGAAGUAUUUAUCCUGAGUAAUGAUGUCUAAGUCUUCUGGAAAGGAGCGCCAUGGAGGGUGAUAGCCCCGUGUGACAUCCCACUCAUUGUAGGAUUUAUACGUGGAGUCGAGUUGUUUGGGAAUGCAGCUCAAACGGGUGGUAUGCUCCAUCUAAAGCUAAAUAUCUGUGAGAGACCGAUAGCGAACAAGUACUGUGAAGGAAAGAUGAAAAGAACUUUGAAAAGAGAGUGAAAAAGUACGUGAAAUUGUUGAAAUGGAAGGGUAGGCCGCUAACCAUGUAGAACCGUGUUUGGGGGGAAGAUAAAAGCUGAAGAAUGUGGCUCCUCGGAGUGUUAUAGCUUCAGUCAAUAUUCCCAUCCGAGCGCG